UGAGUAAUACAUCGGAACGUGUCUUCUAGUGGGGGAUAACUGCCCGAAAGGGCAGCUAAUACCGCAUGAGACCUGAGGGUGAAAGCGGGGGAUCGCAAGACCUCGCGCUGGAAGAGCGGCCGAUGUCCGAUUAGCUAGUUGGUGAGGUAAAGGCUCACCAAGGCGACGAUCGGUAGCUGGUCUGAGAGGACGACCAGCCACACUGGGACUGAGACACGGCCCAA
rnacentral:rRNA from 1 species